rnacentral:rRNA from 1 species
AUUGAACGCUGGCGGCAGGCUUAACACAUGCAAGUCGAGCGGAGAUGAGGUGCUUGCACCUUAUCUUAGCGGCGGACGGGUGAGUAAUGCUUAGGAAUCUGCCUAUUAGUGGGGGACAACAUUCCGAAAGGAAUGCUAAUACCGCAUACGUCCUACGGGAGAAAGCAGGGGAUCUUCGGACCUUGCGCUAAUAGAUGAGCCUAAGUCGGAUUAGCUAGUUGGUGGGGUAAAGGCCUACCAAGGCGACGAUCUGUAGCGGGUCUGAGAGGAUGAUCCGCCACACUGGGACUGAGACACGGCCCAGACUCCUACGGGAGGCAGCAGUGGGGAAUAUUGGACAAUGGGGGGAACCCUGAUCCAGCCAUGCCGCGUGUGUGAAGAAGGCCUUAUGGUUGUAAAGCACUUUACGCGAGGAGGAGGCUACUGAGACUAAUACUCUUGGAUAGUGGACGUUACUCGCAGAAUAAGCACUGGCUAACUCUGUGCCAUCAGCCGCCGUAA